CCCUAAUUGCAACGAGGAUGCAUCUUAUCAAUACUUGCAUAAUGGAAAAAGACUUGUUACAUGGGACAUAGUCGAUUCUUACCAAUGGACCACCCAAUGCGAAAAAGUAAUCAUACUUUUGACAGUAAAGUCGAGCAUAGGCCAGAACCAGAAUUCUUAUCUAGAGAAGAUGUGGUUGCACAAUUGAAUCGUUUAGUGCAAACAAUUUUCGGAAAAGUAGAUGAACGGGUAAAAGAAAAGAAAACGUUCUCCUAAUUACUUGAACUGGUCGAAGAGGAGUAUUUUCUUUGAAUUGCCUUAUUGAGAAACCUUAUUGCUCCGCCACAAUCUUGAUGUCAUGCAUACAGUGAAGAAUAUAUUUCAGAGUAUCAUUGACACCAUAAUGAACAUUUUGGGAAAAGCGAAGGACAGUUAUAAAGCUCGACUUGAUAUGGUGGCUAUGAAGAUAAGGCAUGAGUGGCACCCGAAGAGUAUUGAUGGCAAAACACACAUCCCUCCUGCAUGUUAUAUAUUUUCUCCCAGUGAAAAAAGCAGUUUCUGCAAGUUUUUAAGUUCCGUAAAAUUUUCGGACAACUAUGCGUUAAACAUAUCUCGAUGUGUGACUGAUGAUGAUCGAAUCACUGGACUUAAGAGUCAUGAUUGCCAUGUUAUACUGCUACGACUUCUUCCUGUUGCCUUGCGUGGAUACUUAAGGAAGGACAUCUCCAAAACAUUAAUUUAGAGGAGUUAUUUUUUCAAGGAGUUAACAUCCAGGACCUUGCACGUGGAUGUGCUAAAGCGACUCAAGAGUGACAUUGUCUUAAUUUUGUGCAAGCUUGAAAAAAAUUUCCCUCCACCAUUUUUUGAUGUCAUGAUCCACCUCUCCAUUCACCUUGCAGAGGAAGCAAUGCUUAGUGGACCAGUACAAUUUAGGUGGAUGUAUCCAUUUGAGAGGUACAUGAAAGUUCUAAAGGGUUAUGCGCGAAACAAAGCUCAUUCUGAAGGCUUGAUUGCUGAAGGUUACAUAGAUAAUGAAUGUAUGACAUUUUGUUCAAUGUAAUUUGAAGGGAUUGAAAUGAGAUUUAAUAGGGCAGAGCGAAACUAUGAAGGAGAUACAUCAACUAACCAAGGUAGUGUAUUGCCAAUAUUUUUCCAAAAUGCUUGUGGAUUGGGAGCAACGAAAUAUGAUGAGCUUAAUUAUGAAGAACUAGCAAAGGCCCAAACAUAUGUGUUGAACAAUUGUGAGGAAAUAUACCCAUAUAUAGAGUAAGUCAAAUUCCAAUAUACUAUUGUGAUACAAAACGUUACUUUUAUCUUUGUGUUCCUAUCUCAGUCUUCACAUUAAAAAUUGAGAAUGGAGAUAGUAUCUUAGUACAAAUUUUAUGUUCUAGGCAACACAAGGAAGAGCUCAAGCCACAAAGCAACCGAAACAUAGAAAAGAGGCAUCAAUUUGAAUUUCAGAAGUGGUUUUUAGAACUUGUAAGGGUUGUGAGUUCUCUCUUUUAAUAAGAUUAUAAGUACCAUUUUAUUUAUUUUGUUGAUUCGACUUAGUUGUGAAAAAUUGAAAAUUGGUGACACGAAAAUGGAAAGAAGGUUUCAGAAGGCGUGACAAUUCAAUUGCUAAAUUUAGCACGGGGUCUUGAUCGACGAGUGACACGUUACAAUGGUUGCUUGGUCAAGGGAUUUCGGUUUCAUACACAAGAACGCGAGAUGCAUUGAAAAUGUCAGAAUAGUGGUGUGGUUGUUAUGGGCAACCAUAAAGGGGAGAUUAUUGAUUUUUAUGGUGUUGUUAAAGAUGUAAUUGAGCUAUCAUAUUUGGGUGGAAAUCAUAUCAUGCUUUCCAAGUGUGAUUGGUGGGAUGUUGGCAGUGCUAGGGGAUACUAGUUGAUGACUACAAUUUCACUAGUGUAAACAUAUCAAAAACUUGAUAUGUAGAUGGGCCUUUUGUGCUAGCGUGUCAAGUAGAGCAAGUUUGCUAUUUGAAAGACAUAGUUAAUAGUGAGAAUUGGAGGGUUGUUCAAAAGAUAGCUCCUUGAGCAUUCUAUGACAUGCCCGAAGAGGAAGAGGAUGAACAUGAGGAAGAUGAGCCAUACCAAGAAAACGAACCAUAUGGGUUUAGCAAUAGCAUUGAGGUUGAUGACCAGCCGAUAAUGAUGAAUAGAGAUGAUAUGGAUUCUGUCCAUGUUGAUGUACUCAAUGAUGAAAUAGGUGUCGAGGAAGAAGAAUAUGAUAGCGAUGCAUUUAUUAAUGAUGACGAUGACAUGAUUGAUGUCCAGACUUCUGAUGAUGAACUUUCAGAUGAAUCAUUUUACGGUGAUAGUGAGGAUGAGUAGUAGCAGUACCAUGUCCUUUUUGUCAUGCACAUAUCUCAAAUGUAAUGGUUAAACAAUAUCGAAAGUUACGGUUUUUCCUCUCUAUAUAUGAAAGUUGUUACGAUUUCUCACUCAUAUUCAUUUAACCCCUUAUUUUAUGCUAUGCUUCAUGUCAGGUUAUUUCAAGUCAACUUCAAGUAUGCUCCAAAAUAAAAUGGCCGCAACAUGUCUUCCAAUUAUGCUAAUUGCGCAACAAUCGAUGAUGAUCAUUUUGGGCAUGGAGAUAUAAUAUUGGAGUAGGAGAUAGGAGUUGAAAAAUGUUUUGGAGGACAAAGCUGCUAGUUGCCUUGAUGUUUGAAUUUGCACUAUAUUAAGACAGUUAGUGCAUGUUUUGUCCAGUUAGUAGGUGCUGGUUUUGGGGUACAUUGAACUGGAUUUGUCGUACCAAAUGGAAUGAGAUAAGUAGCUAGUGGUUAAUAUCAUGUAUUGAUCUCCUUUUUGUUAUG